GCAGGGAAUUUUGUAGUAGAAAUGUUAAUAUUUAUAGAAUCGUGCUUCUUUAAGAGCAACAUCGCGACAUAUUAUUGAUUAAAAUUUGCACAAUGAAAAUGUAUACAUUAAUAAUUUUCAUGCAUAGUAAUUCAAAGAUAUAUUGCAUAAUCAUAAUUAAAAAAAUGACAAAUAAUGAUUACCAGCUUGUGUAGAGCUAUUCAAAUAAUGACGUGCACAUAAAAUAAUACAUUAAUGACUUGUUCAGUAGUGAUUAUGAGAGAGAAAAAUGGAUUACAUCUACAAUAGAAUAAGUCAAAAAUGAUGAUUCAAAAAAUUAAUUUUCGGGGUGAAAAAUAAGAACCAAAGUAACAAAGUUCCAGUCACUAUGCACAAGUAAUCACUUCAUGUAAUGUACUAUUGAAGGGCACAUUUUUCGAAAAUCACUUUUCAGAUAGUUGUAAUAUAAAACUGUUCAACAAAAUCAUUAUGUGCACAAGUGAUAUGGCAAUCAUAAUUAUAACAAAUAAAAAGUUUAAACAUAAAAUAGGAUAAUGACAAGCACAAUUCAUAAGUGGCGUCACAAUUAUUGCAUGUCUGUUUCAAGUGGCCUACGAUAGAUUUUUUUCUUAUAUUCAGAUCUUGGAAACGAAAAUAAUGAUGGUUGAGAUUUGAAUUAAAGCGAAUUGUACUCAUAACGUGUUAUAAAAUAAAGAGAAAAUGAGAGUAAAAUAUAAAGAAAUCAAAGGCUUUUUUGGUAUUUUAUUAAAAAUCAAAACCUCAUAUUUAUAAGAAAGAAUAAGGGCCGAAACAAAUACAAUAAUCAAGGUUGCAUGAGUAUAAUGGUAAUUUAUUAACAUAUAAUUUAUAAAUGUUAGUUAUUUUUUAUGUGAAAUAUAUUAUUCAUUAACAACAAUAUCUGAAAACUUGGAAAUAUAUUAUAGGGAAAUGCAACUUGUCCCAACUCUGGGACCGACCAAAAUCCAGAGUGCCCUCUAUUUUUGGGUCGGUCCCCGAGUUGGGACCUGUAGCGUGAUUUGUAAAUAUCUUUUUUUUUUUUAAUUAGUUAUUUGUAAGCCAAAUGAAAACUUGCCAAUCCAUCCAAAUUUCCAGCAGACAUGGGAUAUCAUUUACGUAGAUCUUGCCAAUACAUCCAAAUUUCCAGCAGACAUGGGAUCACAUUUACGCAGGUGGAUAUUUUUUUAUUUAUUUAAAAAGUUAGUUAAUAUCCCAAUUAUGCCAAAAGAUCGAUAAUUAAUCUAUAAUUUCUUGUUGAAUACUAGUUAUUUAACUAAUUAAUCUCACCUAAUGAGUCAAUGUAAUAGUUGGUAGGUGGGCAGCUGUUAGGUGUGAUACGAGCGAUUCUGCCAUCGCCAAUAUAAUAAAGUAUUUGACGAUUUUGCGUCCACAUUCCAAACCGACACAAGAGGACAAAACAUUGCAUGACGCGACGAUAAAUGAACAAAUUCACAUAAUUAAUCGAAGUUGUCCGAUAUCAAUUUUCAGAAAGGAAAAAGACGCUUGUACACCAUGAUGUACAGCGGGGGUGGGGGGUCCAUAUGAAUGAAAUAAUUGUGGGCCCUCUCAUUGUGAAGGAGCCGAAGGGGUGUACAGCUAAGAGCUGUACACCAAGCAUCACUCUUUUAGAAAUCAUAUUUAUUGAUACAAGAAGUAGGAUCGACGGGAGUAUGUGUAGGACAAUACACUUCUUGAUGCAAGGAUAAAUAAACAAAUUCAAUUCAUAUAGUUAAUCGAGGUUGCCAUUUUAUCGAUUUUUUAGAAAUCAUAUUUAUUGACACAAGAAGGGUUGACGGGAGUGUAGAUAGGACGAUAAACUUCUUGAUGCGAGGAAUAAAUAAAUUCAUAUAAUUAAUCGAAAUUGUCCAAUAAAAAGAUGUGUCAUAUUUUCCGACAUAAGUAAUGUCGACGUGAGUAUAGAUGGAGGACAAAACAAUUUCUUAAAACGAGGUUAAAUAAAACAAAUCUAUAUAAUUAUUCAGGAUUGUCUCAAUAGAAAGAUCGUAUCUUCUUCUAUAUAUUAUAUUUUUGGUUGUUGCUAUCUUCAUUUAUAGGUGUCAUGUUUUAGAAUUUAAAGAUGAAUAUUCAUUAAAUUAAUUUAGUGUGCACGAUUGAUUUAUCCUGAAUGUUUAUUCACGGUACAUAUGUCCACUUGAAUGUCGCUAAGCAUUUAAAUAACUAUUUGAUAAUGACUUAUUUUAAUUUAUUUCAACACGAUACAAAAUUUAGUUAACAAAAUGACCUUGAAAUGUUGCACUCGAUAUAUUGCAACUAGUCAAAUACAAAAUAAGUCGUGUGUGGAAGAUAUAAAUAAUUAUUGUGCGUUAAGAAAGUUAAACUAUUGAUUUUCAGUCUAUUUUUUCCCUAGUAAGUCGAUCUUCAAAUUAAAAAAAAAAAAAAAAAUACAACUGUACAAAUUAAUGGUUGUUUGUAAUGGUAGAAAUAAUUCUAAUUUCCAUUAAAUAGUAAGGUGCCAAACCAUCUUAAGAUUAAAAUUUUAAUCUAAUUCUAAUGGUCAGUGGUAUCAAAAUAGGCAGGCAGUCAGGCCACGAUGAUCUGACUCGUUAAAAAAUUCCAUUGAAAACCAACUCAGCCUAUUUUGAGACCAUACACGCCCUUGUUAGCGCCUCAUUUUGGGGAAAAUAAUGUAUUUUGAAUAUUGAUGAAAAUAUGUGGUUAAAAAUUAAAGAAGAGUUUUGGCCUUACGUGUAAUAUUAUUUUAAAAUUAAGUAAGUGAUCGAAUUGAUUGACAGAAGGGGUGACCGACCCUCACAUUUUGCGUGUGGGUCCCGAGUGAAUAGAAAAAUGUCGGCCCUUCAAUGUGUGUGUUCGGUCAACCCCUAUGUUAGUGUCGCAAAAUUUAUUAUUUUAUUGAAAAAUGUAUGCUUGAAAAUGAACUUUUAGAAGAAUAGGUUCAAGACGGUUCUUUUUUCAAUUAUUAUAGAUUAAAAAAGAUAGGCAGGCCUAGUCCCACCUAGCCAGUCCGCAAUAUUGAUGGGUUUGUGUGAUGGUCAAACUCAAUAUUUCGAAGAUGGCCUACACACAUCCUACACACAUGUAGAUCGAUCUAGCUCAAACCAUUCAUUUUAACACCCUUGCUAAUGGUCACUUAAUAAAUUUUAUAUAAAUAUUCAAAUCAAUAAUUGGCUCUAAGGACCAUAUUGAAAUUAUAGGGAGUAAAUUAUAUUCACAAUUGUCACUUUAGGUAUACAUAUGUUGAUUCUCAUGUGGCUUAAGCAAUAUAUAUGCGCCUGUUUGGGAGUGAUUUUGAGAAUUGAUUUUUUGAUCGUUAGGAGAAAAGUGGGAUCCACUUGUGAGAAAAAAAAGUCAAAUAUGACGACUAAAAUAGUGAAAUAACGGUCAAAAAAUCAAUUUUUUGGGUAAAAAAAUCGAGCCCAACAUGACAAUUCUUGAUUUCUUGAAGCACCAAAAUGCACAAACUAUAAUAAUUUUUUUUCGAAAAAGCUAAUUUUAAGUUUUUCUCGAACAAAGAUACCAUGCUUAUUAUUAAGAUUGUCGAGUGAAAUAUGCUUAUCAUAGACAACUAUAUUGCUCC
rnacentral:lncRNA from 1 species